AAGCAGCCAUCCUUUAAAGAAAGCGUAAUAGCUCACUGAUCGAGUCUUUCUGCGCGGAAGAUGUAACGGGGCUAAGCAAGUAACCGAAGCCGCGGAUUCAUACGAAAGUAUGAGUGGUAGGGGAGCGUUCUGUAAGCCUGCGAAGGUGUGUUGAGAAGCAUGCUGGAGGUAUCAGAAGUGCGAAUGCUGACAUGAGUAACGUUAAAGCGGGUGAAAAGCCCGCUCGCCGUAAGCCCAAGGUUUCCUGCUCUACGUUCAUCGGAGCAGGGUGAGUCGGCCCCUAAGGCCAGGCUGAGAAGCGUAGUCGAUGGGAACAAGGUUAAUAUUCCUAGACCAUUGUCAAGUAUGCGAUGGGGGGACGGAGUGUGAAAGAUGAUCCGGGUGUUGGAUAUCCCGGUUUGUGAGAGUAGAAGGAAGGCAGGCAAAUCCGCCUUCGAAUCUUCGAGUCGAAACAUCGAUUCUCCACGUGAGAAGAAGUCAUCGGAAGUGCUUCCAAGAAAAGCCUCUAAGUGGUAGCUUGACAAGACCGUACCGCAAACCGACACUGGUGGGCGAGUUGAAUAUACUAAGGCGCUUGAGAGAACUCGGGAGAAGGAACUCGGCAAAUUGACACCGUAACUUCGGAAGAAGGUGUGCCUUUGUAGCGUGAGAGAAGAAACAUCUUAAGCGUGAAGAGGCCUCAGAGAAUAGGUGGCUGCAACUGUUUACUAAAAACAUAGCACUCUGCAAAGAUGAAAGUCGACGUAUAGGGUGUGAUGCCUGCCCGGUGCUGGAAGAUUAAUUGAUGGGGUGCAAGCUCCUGAUCGAAGUCCCAGUAAACGGCGGCCGUAACUAUAACGGUCCUAAGGUAGCGAAAUUCCUUGUCGGGUAAGUUCCGACCUGCACGAAUGGCAUAAUGAUGGCCACACUGUCUCCUCCCGAGACUCAGUGAAGUUGAAGUGUUUGUGAUGAUGCAAUCUCCCCGCGGCUAGACGGAAAGACCCCAUGAACCUUUACUGUAGCUUUACAUUGGACUGUGAACCGAUUUGUGUAGGAUAGGUGGGAGGCAGUGAAACUCAGACGCCAGUUUGAGUGGAGCCAUCCUUGAAAUACCACCCUGAUUUGUUUGCGGUUCUAACCUCGGCCCAUGAUCUGGGCUAGGGACCGUGUAUGGUAGGCAGUUUGACUGGGGCGGUCUCCUCCUAAAGGGUAACGG
rnacentral:rRNA from 1 species